UGUCUGGACCAUUGGGACCAUGAAGGCCUGCGGCAGGUGUUGAUGUGAUGUGAUUUCUGCCCAGUGCUGAGUCAAAGUGAAGAAAUUCAAUGAAGCACAGGUAAAUGGUGGGAGUAACUAUGACUCUCUUCAGACAGGACUGUAGUUACCAACUGGGCUUUGUUGCAGAGGUCACACCUCCUCGUGGUCCCGCCGGAUGCCCUUUGGGGUAACUGAGUUGACCUCCACCCCAAUUUAACAGAAUCAUGGUUGCUUCCUCCCUAAAGAGCAAAUUCACUGCCUGCUCGAUAGUACUUUUUUAGAUGAAACACAAAUUUGGCUUUGAAAUAUUUUCAAGCCCUAUCCCUCACCCACAGGUGGUUAGUUGGACAAUACCUGGCUAUCGUGAGGGUCGAGACCAGGUAACUUCAUCCCUCACAUGGACUUGGAAUAAUGAGCCGUCAGAUACAGAUUAAUUUCCUAUCAGUGGCCACUUGGACAUGACUUGAUGACUGACAUGAAAAUGUGGUCUCGACCUCCAACACUGACCACUAACAAUCAAUGGAUGAGGAAAGGAGAAUAAGAAGUUUGGAGUUCUCAACUCAGUUGGUCGAAGAGGGAUACCAUCCAUCCAUUGGUCCAGAUGAAUUUGCCAUGUUUUCCGAGACGUAUGGGGCCCUCUGAACUCCUGAUCUCAUGAGCAAUGCCAUCAGACCUCGCCAAUAGUGGCUAAGGACAGGGAAGAUGAGGUAUACUUAUUGCCUGGGAUUGUGAUGUAUUCUUGUCCCACACCACCUGUAUCUACUCUGUGUUCACACAAUGAGCUUUCCACUGAACUAAAGCAGUGGUCUAAGUUCCGGACAGAAAUCCAUCUUGUCCAUAUUGUGGGACACAGACUGUGACAAUAUCGGGAUGAGUUGAUCAUCUAAGGAGAGUCCAUGAUUGAGAAGAUCCGAAAUGGAAUUCUCCCAUUCCCAGAGAGAUUAUUGUGAAAAAGCUAAAUUGGCCCUACUCUCCUUUGAUAUUGUUACUCAUUUUUUGCUGGUGUAUCCUUUAUUGUAUCUAAUUUAAUUGUAUCUUUUCAUGUACUUCACAGUUUGUAAUAAAUAUAAUUCGGCUAAUUGAGCAGCUAGGUAUACAGAUUGGGAUCUCGUAAUGAUUACUUGAACAUGACAUAGUUAUUCUGGACCCGACUGCAGGUGGAUGAGCCAUCUCACUUAACUCAGAAAAGGGAUGAAUUUCUAUAUGCAUUUGAUAAAUAGCCAAAUGCCUCAUCAACUAAUUAGUGACGCGCAUGAAUGGAUGAACAA
rnacentral:ncRNA from 1 species